CAAUAGCGUAUAUUAAAGUUGUUGCAGUUAAAAAGCUCGUAGUUGAAACUUGGGCCUGGCUGGCGGGUCCGCCUCACCGCGUGCACUCGUCCGGCCGGGCCUUCCUUCUGAAGAACCUCAUGCCCUUCACUGGGCGUGCUGGGGAAUCAGGACUUUUACUUUGAAAAAAUUAGAGUGUUCAAAGCAGACCUUUGCUCGAAUACGUUAGCAUGGAAUAAUAAAAUAGGGCGUGCGUUUCUAUUUUGUUGGUUUCUAGAGACGCCGCAAUGAUUAACAGGAACAGUCGGGGGCAUCAGUAUUCAGUUGUCAGAGGUGAAAUUCUUGGAUUUACUGAAGACUAACUACUGCGAAAGCAUUUGCCAUGGAUGUUUUCAUUAA
rnacentral:rRNA from 1 species